UACAAGUAAUUUAGUUGCUGCUGUUGACAAUUUGUGGUAUCUAAAAGAUGGAAUACAUACUGUAGUCUUGAAAAAACUUUCAGAAAAUGGAUCUUGCAGGCAAAGGACACCAAGUGAAUUAGAUAGAGAGGUUAAGAACUUGAGGGUGGCAUUUACUGACCUGUUUUUGAAGCAUAACACUUUCAAAGAAACUGCAAAGCCAUCGAGAUAUUGAUGCAAAGAAUGGAAGAAUGUAUUUCACUAAUUUUUGUAUACAUUUCUUGUUUUGUAUUUAGUGAUAAAGGAAUCUGAAUUGGGCAUAAAUUAUGUUGUAAUAUGAUUUCUUAAGCCUAGACUAGUAGACUAAAUAUUGUAAUUACAUUUGAGUAAUUAAUAAAAAUCUAUUUAUGUUA